rnacentral:rRNA from 1 species
AAAUUGAAGAGUUUGAUCAUGGCUCAGAUUGAACGCUGGCGGCAGGCCUAACACAUGCAAGUCGAACGGUAACAGGAAUCAGCUUGCUGAUUUGCUGACGAGUGGCGGACGGGUGAGUAAUGUCUGGGAAACUGCCUGAUGGAGGGGGAUAACUACUGGAAACGGUAGCUAAUACCGCAUAACGUCGCAAGACCAAAGAGGGGGACCUUCGG